rfam:Sus scrofa chromosome 3.
GAAAGUGGGGGCCAGCUGGCAGCAGCCCCUGAUCGCUGGGGUUGAUUCCACUGACCUGGCUGGUGAGGCGGGGGUCCCCUUCUACCCUCACCGCUCCACGCGUGUCCCCCCUGAAUCUGGGCGCUUGGCCGGAGAUGACAACCUUCCCCAGUAGAGGAGAAUUCUUCUUUGGUCUUAAUUUUUAAAAAAAGAAAGAAGAGAGAAUUCUAAUUUGGCAUUUUUAUUUUUAAACAGCUCUAUUUCAAAUUUAAAAUGAUCCAAAUAUAGCCUUUAAUAGUACAGAGCAGAAUUUCUUU